UACGUAGGGCGCAAGCGUUUGUCCGGAAUUAUUGGGCGUAAAGAGCUCGUAGGCGGCUUGUCACGUCGAUUGUGAAAGCCCGAGGCUUAACCUCGGGUCUGCAGUCGAUACGGGCAGACUAGAGGUAUGCAGGGGGAGAACGGAAUUCCUGGUGUAGCGGUGAAAUGCGUAGAUAUCAGGAGGAACACCCGAGGCGAAGGCGGCUCUCUGGGUCGUACCUGACGCUGAGGCACGAAAGCGUGGGGAGCGAACGGG
rnacentral:rRNA from 1 species